CAAAAAACCAGAUAAACGAAACAGUCAAGGCUCCUGUGAGCCUGCAUACCUCAAGGCGCCGCACAGGAGGACGCCACGGGGCCCAAGACAUGAGGCCGUCUCUUCCCCAGUGCAGCCAUGUCUAGGUGGGGACAGGGGACCAGAAGCAAAGAAAAGGAAGGGAAUGUCCUAGAACCAAACACCCUCAAUAAGCAUGCGGCAGCUUUUUUUUUUUUUUUUUUUUUUUUAAUGGCCACAGCAAUGGCGUAGGCAAGGUCCUGGGCCAGGAAGUGAAACUGAGCUGCAGCUGCUGACCUAUGCCACACUCACAGCAACGAUGCCAGGUCCUUUAACCCACUGCGCCGCAUUGGGGAUCAAACCGACGCCUCCACAGCAACACAAGCCGAUCUAGUCAGAUUCUUAACCCACUGCACCACAGCAGGAACUCUGAGAGCAGCAUUGUAAGCAAGUAGAAAACUUGAUCAAAUUUUCAUGUUGGAGAACCUGCUCUGGUUUGGGUGUGGGGAGCAGAUGAAAGGGAGGGAAGAGAGGACACAGGUGGUCCAGUGAGGGGGAGGAGCGCAGAGGAUGAUGCAGCCUGGACCAAGACAGAAGAUAGAGACAGGAGACUGAUAACCCAGAAACAUUCAGGAGGGGAGGUCAGCAGGAUCUGGUCCUGAAUCAGACAUGCAGCAUGAGAUGCACUGAGUUUUCUGAUUUAUGCAACUGUGGUGCUGUUUACAACAGUAGAAAAAAGAUGAGGUCUGGGGAAAAAAAUCAGGCUCUUGGUGUUAGAUGUUCAAGUUUUAGGUGGUUUAUAAACAUUCAUGAAGAAUGUCUAUAGCAGGAGUCGGCAAAGUUUUCUGUAAAGGACCAAAUGGUAAAUAAAAAUGCGGCUGUGAGGUCCAUGCAGUCUUUGCUGCAGCACUCGGCUCUGUCACUUCAGUGCACACACUCACAGAACAUAAGCCAAUGAGUGGGCGCAGCCUGUGCCAGUGACCUUUGGCCAGGCCAGCUCACCCCCCGAUUUAGCACUUCAGGGAAGGUGUCUGGAAUAGAAAUAUCCAUCAGUGAAUCUUUUGCGUCAGUUAAGUGAAUCCAUGAAUUAGACAAAACUGACUAUAAACCAAGGAGAAAUUCAGGAAAGAAGGUCCAACCUUGAGAAGCACCGACACUUAACAGCUGGGGAGGGAAGGAAAAGCCUGCAAAGAACACAGAACAGAGGGAACAGAGGGGUGGCAGGAACCGGAAAGUGUGUCACUGAAUGAGAACAAGGGAGUGGCAGCCCCAGGAUGGGCCUGGGGAGGCAGGAGGAGGCCCUAGGGAUCGUGCAGCAGGGCCCUCUGAGAAGGAAGAGCCAGGAGGCGGGUCUACUGCAGUGAACGGUCUUAUGAGAAGCUGAAGAUGCCAGAUAAUCAUUUUCCCAGCCUCUUUGCCACUGAAGAAAAAGCACCUGACCAGGACCCAGAGAGGCCUGUGCCCAUGCUGGGUGAGGACUCAUGGCCUAGGAGGCAGAGCCCAGAGAAGCCCCUCGUCGCAGGUAGUAGAGGCAGCGGGCGGGCAGCUGGCCAGGUUGCAGCUCUGCAGUGAUGGCUCCACGCGUCUGGGGGUGAUGCGGUGCCCCUAAUGGACCUGAGCUAGGGCACACCUGUGGGUGCAGCCUCACCUUGUUUCUGCCUAUUUUCCAAGCAGAAUUCUGCAGCUUUCCAGGUGUUGUGUAAACUACCUACCCUCUUCCUCCUCUGCUGUUUUAAUCCCCUUUGAUUCAAUCAGCAAAUGCUGUUUUACCUGCUUACAGUGAGAAAUCCUAACUGAUGUCCACAGGGAAAGGUUUGAAGGGACUACACUGGAUCUGAAAGCUUUUUACGGAAAGUGGGAGGCGGAGCUAAGUGGAAAGACUUGGCAGAACUGCAAUGUCACUGGGGAGACACAGGGGACAAGAGAGUCAGGAAGGCUGGGGCCAUACCAGAGCCAAGCUGCCUUUCGUGAGCAUUGCUGAAGCAGCGUUCACCAACUUGAGAGCAGACAGAACAAACUAGAUUAAUAAAGCAACAGAUCUGAGACACUCUCAAGGGAGAAAAAAAAAA